rnacentral:rRNA from 1 species
AGACGGGGUCUAACCGGCCCCAACUCUUCACCCGUGUUCACAAAUCUAUGUUGCUUUGGCUGGCGGCUCAUUGCCUAGACGCCAGUCGGAAGUCAUCCAAAAAUCUUUUAUCGACGAAGUCCGAGUAACCAUUUAAUAAUCAAAACUUUCAACAACGGAUCUCUUGGUUCUGGCAUCGAUGAAGAACGCAGCGAAAUGCGAUAAGUAAUGUGAAUUGCAGAAUUCCGUGAAUCAUCGAAUCUUUGAACGCACAUUGCGCCCUUUGGUAUUCCGAAGGGCAUGCCUGUUCGAGCGUCAUUGCAACUCUCAAGCACUGCUUGGUAUUGGCUAUCGUCUCCCGGGACGGUUCCGAAAUUUCGUGGCGUCCGGCGAGACUUCAAGCGAACAAGACUUACAUCCCGCUAUCGAAGCACCUCGUCGAGGCGGCCAGCCAAAUAAUAAUUCGUACAGUUG